GUUUGCUCUGGGGACUGAGAGGGACCAGACAUCAAUCCAGGUUCUCCAAAUCUUUCUGAACAAGUCUCUCAUAUUUCAAACUUAGCCAGUUAUCUCGCCAUAGAAGGCUGAAGAGUUAUAAGUCUAGUGGAAGCUGGGUACGUGACCAGAAAUGGCAUUGAAGAGUGUUUCCUGCUGGCUGGAGAGUAGAUACCCCAAGUGCCAAUCAAAGAAAAGAAAGCUUCGGAUAAGUCAAAGGGUGGAUGCCUCUUGCCAAUGUUAAACCGGCAAACUCCCGGUUUACACUCUUUAAAUAAAAAGAAAAGAACUAC